rnacentral:rRNA from 1 species
UACAGGGGGUGCAAACGUUGCUCGGAAUCAUUGGGCGUAAAGCGCACGUAGGCGGUCUGUUAUGUCGGAUGUGAAAGCCCUUGGCUCAACUGAGGAAGUGCAUCCGAAACUGGCAGGCUAGAGUACGAAAGAGGAUCGCGGAAUUCCCGGUGUAGAGGUGAAAUUCGUAGAUAUCAGGAGGAACACCAGCGGCGAAGGCGCUGCUCUGGGCCGGUACUGACGCUGAGGGGCGAAAGCGUGGGGAGCGAACAGG